rnacentral:lncRNA from 1 species
AUGGGGAUGCAGUGUGUUUACAACCGAAUGACUGCGAUGUCUAAACUAAAGAGGAAGAAAUCAGCGAUUGACGAGAGUAAAUGCGAGCAGCAGACGACGAAGAAAAAGUCAAAUGGCAGUCUGAGUUCAGAACAGGACAGCAGCUGCAGCAAAACAUCUACAGGCAGGGCGAGAUGGUGGGAGAGUUCUGAAUUAAGUGACGUGGAGAAACUCUGGGCUCUUACCUUGAGAGCUUUUUGCCCAGCCCUGCAGUCUGAUCAGGAAGAAUGUAUUCCACAGCUCCCCCACCCUCAUCCACGGUAAUACAUCACCUUAUCAUCAGUGGUUAUCAUGGAAGAGGGAAGGGCUCUGUGUUUGUAGAUCUGUUUGAGUAGGAGGUUUAACAUGCAGUAUUUAAUAUACAUUGUAGUAAUAAUUGAGUCUCAUGCUAUUGCAUGACCCUAUUUCAUAUAGUAUGAAUAAUUCCUGCAUUUUUUCCUGAAAUGGAUGUUAGAUGCAAAUUGACACUGUAAGGUCUAGAGAUGACCUUCUACCGUCACAUACUAAACACUUCAUUCCCUUCACCAAAAUGUCACUUUACCAAUACCAAUAAUAUAUCAGUGUCUUUAAAAGCAGGACCCACCCUUGAAUCUCAGAUUUUCCUCUGUACAUGGGAAAAGUUGGCUCGGUGUUAUUUUCCAUGGAGAUGAGAGGAUGGACAGUACUGAAUUGUCCUUUCCAGAACUGGCAACAAGGCUGUGGUGUGUUGUCCUGGGCUACAUGUUUAUUUAACAAAUGACGUUUUCCAUGAAAUGGGUCCACUUUGGUGUCUCAUUACUUAAAAACACAACAAAUUACAUUUGAGGUACAAAUCCCAAACACUUAAAAUCAUAAAGCAUGGACAUAACAUUUUUAUUUUAAAUUUUAUUUUAUGGAAAAUAAAUAUUUACUAGAAAUGUAGUUUUAAAUUAGACUUUUUGGUAUCAGGUUUACAAAAAUUAUAUUUUAUAUUCAGAUUUUCCAUAUAAAAUAUAUAAUAGGUAGUUUAAUCUCCUAAGGGUGACAAACAAUCAACAUUUCUGAAGGUAAAUAAGCACCUCCUGUCAUUGACCUUUUUAAUAUUAUUUCUUUAGUAAUUCUAUGUAAUAAUUUGUUCCCUUUAAAGUGCCAAAUAAACAUAAUUUCCUUAGGUAUUAUCUUAAAAAAAAGACAAUGUAAAUUAAUGAAUGUAAAUGUGAAUGUCUCUUUUUUUUUUAAUUUGCAGAUAUAAUGGUUUUCUGGCAUAAGUUGUUUUCCACUGUCUCUCUGUCACAUGUCAGUUUGGGUUUAGAUGUGUUUGAUGUCAUGACUUCAUACUUUUAUUUGGCUGUUCUUCAGAACCACUAACAAAGCUGGUAUCCAAACAGCACAUUUUGUGUAAAAUGUGUAUAUUAUGUUGCUAAAGGCAGCGUCUAAUUUAAUUUAACGUGAUAAUUUGUGUAAUACAGUGUGAUUUCAUCUCGAUUUCUUCAGAAAACUCCUGUACAAAAAGUAAGUGAUUGGAGGGGGUGCAGUGCAGAUGAAGAUGUUAAUCUCCCUCCAGAUUUGCCUGCUCCGUCUUUCCUCAACAACCCACAACCAGUGAAUGAGGUCAAGAACCCCUCAC